CGAACGGGAUUAGUAACAGAAGCCUCGGCGGAAGAUUACUAAUGAGAGUGGCGAACGGGUGAGUAACGCGUGAGCAACCUGCCUAUGACAGUGGGAUAGCCUCGGGAAACCGGGAUUAAUACCGCAUAAAAUCGUAGAAACACAUGUUUUAACGGUCAAAGAUUUAUCGGUCAUAGAUGGGCUCGCGUCUGAUUAGCUAGUUGGUGAGAUAACAGCCCACCAAGGCGACGAUCAGUAGCCGGUCUGAGAGGAUGAACGGCCACAUUGGAACUGAGACACGGUCCAAACUCCUACGGGAGGCAGCAGUGGGGAAUAUUGCACAAUGGGGGAAACCCUGAUGCAGCGACGCCGCGUGAACGAAGAAGGUAUUCGUAUCGUAAAGUUCUGUCCUAUGGGAAGAUAAUGACAGUACCAUAGAAGAAAGCUCCGGCUAAAUACGUGCCAGCAGCCGCGGUAAUACGUAUGGAGCGAGCGUUGUCCGGAAUUAUUGGGCGUAAAGGGUACGCAGGCGGUUUAAUAAGUCGAAUGUUAAAGAUCGGGGCUCAACCCCGUAAAGCAUUGGAAACUGAUAAACUUGAGUAGUGGAGAGGAAAGUGGAAUUUCUAGUGUAGUGGUGAAAUACGUAGAUAUUAGGAGGAAUACCAGUAGCGAAGGCGACUUUCUGGACACAAACUGACGCUG
rnacentral:rRNA from 2 species